UACGGGAGGCAGCAGUGGGGAAUAUUGCACAAUGGGCGAAAGCCUGAUGCAGCUAUGCCGCGUGUAUGAAGAAGGCCUUAGGGUUGUAAAGUACUUUCAUCGGGGAGGAAAAAACAAAACUAAUAAUUUUAUUUCUUGACGUUACCCGAAAAAGAAGCACCGGCUAACUCCGUGCCAGCAGCCGCGGUAAUACGGAGGGUGCUAGCGUUAAUCAGAAUUACUGGGCGUAAAGAGCACGUAGGUGGUUUUUUUAAGUCAGAUGUGAAAUCCCUGGGCUUAACCUAGGAACUGCAUUUUGAAACUGAAAUACUAGAGUAUCGUAGAGGGAGGUAGAAUUCUAGGUGUAGCGGUUGAAAUGCGUAGAUAUCUGGAGGAAUACCUGUGGCGAAAGCGGCCUCCUAAACGAAUACUGACACUGAGGGUGCGAAAGCGUGGGGAGCAAACAGGGAUUAGGAUACC
rnacentral:rRNA from 1 species